rnacentral:lncRNA from 1 species
UUUUUUUUAUUUUUUUAAAAUUUUUUAUUUAUUUUUAUUUUUUACAGGUAGUUUUUAUUUUAUUUUCCCACUGUACAGCAAGGGGAUCAAGUUAUCCUUACAUGCAUACAUUACAAUUACAUUUUUUCCCCCACCCUUUGUUCUGUUGCAACAUGAGUAUCUAGACAAAGGUGGAGAAAAAAAACAUUCAUGUAAGUGUAUCUUGUCCCCCAUGCUGUACAGCAGAAAAAUAAAUAAAUAAAAAUUUUUGUGAAAUAUAAGAAUUAGGACUUGAUUGACAUGACUAAUAUAAAAAGGAGGGAGGGACUGUAGGUUAAAACCAUUGGGAUACCUUAACCUUGGUCUGGAGGUCAGCGUUUAAAUCCCUGCUCCAUCCUCUUUCUAGCCAGGUGACCGGAGGCAAAUUCACUGCACUUCUUUGAGCCUAAGGUUUCUCAUCUGUCAAAAGGGGCUAAUGACAGCACUUCAUCCAGGAGUGGCCUCCGAGGACUGAAUGAAACAAUGCAAAUGAGGCAUGUACCAUGGGACUUGGCAAAGGAAAGCUCUUGGCAAAGAGCAGCAACCUCAUCACUUAGAGCUUGACAAAUUCCAUGAAGACUAGACUCAGAAUGCAAAUCCCCCCAAUAUCUCAGAUAUGAUCACUGAUUCAGCUCAGCCCCCCAUGGGUUCAUUCAAAAAUAUUUACAACACAUCUAGUCUGAGCCAGGCACUUUUCUGUAUCCUGGGGGUGAAGACAUAAGCCAAAUACACAUGAAAAUUCAGAUCACUAAACGACAAUAGAUCAUUUGUUUCAAUGUUAGAGAAAUCACAUUCUUGGACAGAAAGGUCACAGGAGAGGGUCUAUUUCAUUUUGAAGACUGCAGGACACACUGCAGUGAGGGUCCAGGGCCAGGGAGAGAGGGAGGAGGCCAGGAAAGGAAGGCAGUGCCUACAGUGAGGUCUCCGGCAGUCAGCCCUGCCGUCUGCCAGGAGCUGGUUCUGAUGCCACUGGGCUCUGGCUUCCGGCCAAAGCCGCACUUACUUGAUGCUGUGCAGCUUCCUCAUGACGAUCCCUGAAACAUCGACUUUCCAAGAUGUACUUGAUAGAAGAUCCUCAUCCUGAGAAAACACACAUAAAAAUCUUACACAGUUAUUUAUUACUCACACCUUCAGCCGUCAUCUUCAUGAACCAAGUACUAGGCCCCGAAGAGCAAUGGCGGGACUUUAGGAUUUUCAAUCACGGGAACAAUAUGGUUAGAAAUGUACUUUUCAAGAGUUCACAUUUCGGCUCAGUGGUAAUGAAUCCGACUAGAAUCCGUGAGGAUGCGGGUUUGAUCCCUGGCCUCACUCAGUGGGUUAAGCAUCUGUUGUUGCUGUGAGUUGCCGUGGAGAUCGCAGAUGCAGCUUGGAUCCUGCAUUGCUGUGGCUGUGGUCCAGGCUGGCAGCUAUAACUCAGAUUCAAGCCCUAGCCUCGGAACUUCCUAUACCACAGGUUCGGCUCUAAAAACAAAAAGAAGAAAAAGAAAUGUACUUUCCAAAGUACUUUGGUAUCAGUAUAAAGAAGGGAUGGAGGGGGAAACGAGGUUAUUGGAGUUGUCCAGCUAAGAAAUGAUGAGGAAAACAAAAAAAAAGAAAUGAUGACGAGCCUCAAUCAGGUGAGUGGCAAUUGGGAGGGAUGAAGGGAGGGGCUAAAAGCUGGUUUGGAAGCAGGACAUCACAGGAUUUCCCAGAAGGCAGCUUGAGACCUAUUAGAGAGAGUCAAGACAUCAAUGUGGGGGAUUGCGACCAGCAGUUGGGGAUAACAGAUAAAUGGCACAUAUCCGAAAGCAUCCCAUGGAAUGAGGUAAGUAAUAUUUUGUGAUGUAUGGAUUUCUUUCCAGAAUGGUAGAGAACAGAGGGGCAGGAAAGAGCAGGCUCGCUGGGUCUGGGGAGACAGGGUUCAAAUCCAAGGUCCACCGCUUGUUUGCUGGGAGGCCUUGGGAAAGUCACGAACUCCCUGGGCCAGAGUUUCCUCAUUGGAAAAGGAGAGAAACUGAUAACACCUCAUGGGGUUGUGAGGAUUAAUGAGGAAAUACAGGAGGGACACGCAGAUGAGGGCAUCAUGUGUGUGCCUCUACCAUUUCCAGACACAGGUACACAGACGCAGGUCCUGGCUAGGGACGCACAGUAAUUUUCCCCUGUGACCUCAGUUUACAAAAGUGUGACACUAACACACACCCAGUAACACAUACACAGACACACACAUGGCAAUGCUUCCCCUUCUUCUUUUCCUAGCUUGGUCGUUGGCCACACCCACAUCUAGUCCCCUGCUGGUCAUGACCGAACUCUCCCAUCUCCUCCCUGUCCAAUCAGUCACUCAGCCCUGAGCAUAUGCAAAUGUCAGAUCCCUGUGUAAUACACCUGAAACUAACACAAUACAUCCCAUCAUAGGCUACUGCUUCUCUGUGGAAGCUAAAAACACAAAAGAUACAAAUGGCCUUAAACAUAACACAGGAGUAGACCCACAGACAGAGCAGAAACACUUAUGGUUACCAAGGGGGAAAGGGGAUGGCGAGGGACAAAUUAGGAGUUUGGGAUUAACAGAUACCCUCCACUACCUAUAAAACAGAUAACCAACAGGGACCUCCUGUAUAGCACAAGGACGUAUACUGAAUAUUUUGUAAAAAGCUAAAGGCAAAAACCAAAAAGUGUGUAUAUAUAUAUAUACAUACAUACAUAUAUACAUAUAUGGGGAGAGAGACACACACACACAGAUAAAUAACUGAAUCUCUGUCCUAUAAACCCAAAACUAACACAACACUGUAAAUCAAUUAUAGUUCAGUAAAAAGUUACACCACACACACAAAUCAAUUUUCAACAAAUUGCUCAGCCCCACUGCCUAUUCUUGAAGGCAUCCUCUCCUCCUCAGCUCCCUCACCAGCCGUGGAGACUAAAACACCACCCCUUUCAGCCUACAGCAGCCCCCACCCCUUUAAGACUAAGACUCUAAAACUCCAGGAGACCCCGAGGACCCCAAGAAGGACAGCACAACCAUCCUACAUCCGCACAGGACGUCUGACAGUUUGAGGGGCCUGCCCGGGCAUGCGCACUCUUGCUCCUCAUCAGAGCUCUGAGGGAGGGAAUCCCUGGGGAAGGAAGCCUCCAAAAGGCACCCUUGGAGCUGCUCAGAAGCACACAUCCUCUUUGUCAGCCUUGAGAAAGGGGCAAAAAGGCUGUGGCAAGGGAUGCCUCAACAUUUGAUUCAGUGAUUCUCUCCGGCUCCUCUGACUCUACCCUCUGAGGAGCUGGCAGGGCACCUGAGGCAGGGAAGGCAGCCAAGGCUGAGCACAGCCACCAGGGGGCGGCCAGGAACAGCCACAAGGAAGGGUGGCCCUGAGGCAAAGACCCGAGGUGGUCACCCGCUUCAAAGGCCCCCAAACCGAGACUGCGUCCCCUGGGCUCUGGAUCCUUUGGCUGCACAGAAACGUUCUUCAAGGGACAUGAGAACUGAGGCCCCUUAAAGGGUUUCACUCACCCUUUAUUCUUUGCCCCAUUCUUGCUGCUGCCUGGAGAUGGGGGUCUUGGACUGUCAGUCUUGGGCCCCUGGGAUCUGAUGGAGUGAGCUCUCAAGGCCAUGGUCCCUGAAAGCCUGUGACUCUCGGCUAAGCCUCUCCAGGCGCGGCUGGGGAGCCACCCCAGGGGAAGAAGUGUGAGGCAACUGGACCGACGGACAGACUUUCCCUGCCCUUUUUCAGAGAUAUAAAGCUCUAAGACGGCUUAGCAAAUGUUCUGGAAAGAACCAGAAAGGAAGCAUUUCAGCUGUGUAGGCUAGGGGGUCUCUGUGGAAGCUACUCAGCCCUACAGUCCGAGUGCUAAAGCAGCCACAGAUAAGGUGUACAUAAAUGGGAGUGGCCACAUUCCAAUGAAACUUGAUUUACAAAAAUACAUGGCGGGCUGGAUUUGUCCUGUACAGCCUCUCCUCUCAAAGAGCAAGCGGCAUAAUAUUUUAAAAAGACACACACAAACACACACAUGCACAGAGAGAGAGAGAAAGGGAGAAAUUUUAAAUUAAAAAAAUAAAAUAAAAUAAAACUCAGGAGUUCCCUUGGUGGCUCAGUGGCUACCAAACCCAACUAGGAAUCAUGAGGACACGGGUUCAAUUCCUAGCCUCCCUCAGUGGGUUAAGGAUCUGGAGUUGCCAUGAGCUGUGGUGCAGAUCACAGAAGUGGCUUGGAUUGGCGUUGCUGUGGCUGUGGUGUAGACCAGCAUCUGUAGCUCCAAUUUGACCCCUAGCCUGGGAAUUUCCAUAGGCUAUGGAUAGGGUCCUAAAAAAAACCAAACCAAAACAAAAAACGCAAAAAACCCACUCAGAUUCAUAUAAUCAUCAAAGGAAAAAACUUCCACAAAGGACUUUGAGGCCCUAAGCCAUUCCCCUUCUUUUCUCUGACAGACAACCUUUUUCUUGGAAGGGUCACCUUUGUCCCAAUGUACCUUGCUCGGAAAUUAAGGUCUCACACUUAGAGUUAUUAAUCCACCUCCAAGAUGGGUGUAGGAAAGCAAACCACAUGAACACCUCCAAAGGGUGUCAGGCCAUAGGCAGGAUUUCUCCAGCAGCCCCUCUUAACACCAGCAGUGCACACACACUUACACUGCAUUCUGUUCCAGAUGCUUCCACAGCACCAGGGGCACGACAUAGAGACACAACUGACACACACACAAGACAACCCCACCCCACCCACCCCUAACAACACCAGGGCUGAGGGCAGAGGAAAGAGGAGGAAAUCCGCAGUUUGAUGGGCAGAGGGCAGCGUUUGCUUCACGUCCCAGGCUGUCUAAUUUGGGGGAAGACACAAACCUUCAAAGCCCCACUUCCUGCAUAUGUGUAAGCGCCUGGCCGCUGCCCCGCCUCUGCACAACAGCUCUCCUGUUAAUUCAUGAGGUCAUCUGUGUAAAAGCACUUCCUACAUGCUAGUUAUCGUCUCCAGAAGGAAGAAUACAGAGGCAAACUGUAAACACUAGGGCCACAUUGAGGCUACGGAUUCUCAAGGAAGGAAAAGGUUGGAAGCGCUGAUGACCAAAGACCUUCUUAUCCAGUGAUCUCAUGAGGGACAAAAUAGAUACUGCAGGUCAGGUUAUGCCUACAUGCCUCUCCACUCUACAGUUUCUCUUGGUCUAAGUCUGCAUGAAAUCUGGAGAAGUGCAUGUAGCCAUUAUGGUCAAGUGUCUAAGCUGAUAGAAGGACAGAAUAGCUACUGCAGGGUGAGUUAUGCCUACAUGCCUCUCCACUCUACAGCUUCUCUUGGUCUAAGUCUGCAAGAAAUCUGGGGAAAUGCACAUGGCUGUUACUGUUACGUGACCGACCUGACAGAACAAGAAAAAUCUGUACACACACACACACACACACACACACACAGGAAGGAAGAAGGACAGAGAAAGAAAGAAAAUGCAAUCAGUGAGAUAUCUGUAGGAAAAGGUUUGGUGAUACUAUUCCAGCCCAGGAAUCAAACACCAGAACCUUAUCCUGGUUCUGCCACUAACUGGCCCCAGGGUUGCUCUCCUGGGAGUGUCAUUACACCUGCCCUUCAACCCUAAUGGUGCAGUGGAGGAAACAAAUUGCCAAAUGACUCCAAAGGGGCUCUGCAUCGUGAAAUCAUUACCCAGUCCUGCAAGGGGCCAAAUAUUAGGGAAGACUGUUAUGAUGACCAAAAACCUUACAUUACUGUCCAAAGUACAAACACACAUUCCUUGUCUCAGCAGUUCCUUCCACUGGAACAGAAUUUUUUCUCUUGAUGUAGUGCCCCAGACACCGAGGGAAAUGUACCCAAAGAUUUGUAUUAUAACCCCGUUUAACAGGGCGGCUUAAGAGCAAAAGGUGAGAAGCAACCCACAUGUCUCCACUAGGGCCCUGGUGGGAUCCAGUACCAGGUUGAUGGGUGGUGUUGGGGGUGGGGAACCUCAAAUAGGGUGGAGACAGGGUGACACUGCAUCCUUUUUAUAUAUAGAUUUCAAUAUAUAUACAUAUUUUUCAAGUUUCCUAACCAGGUGAUUUCACAAAAUGAAGUUUAAUCCCCUGGAGAGAGAAGAGGGGACAUUUUCAUGUACCUUUAAGCUCCAGAAGGUGGUAUCCCCCCCAGCCCCAAGGUUUAGAAUUUGACAGUUGC